rnacentral:rRNA from 1 species
UACGGGGGGGGUAAGCGUUGUUCGGAAUUACUGGGCGUAAAGGGCUCGUAGGCGGCCAACUAAGUCGGACGUGAAGUCCCUCAGCUUAACUGGGGAACUGCGUCCGAUACUGGAUGGCUUGGAUUUGGGAGAGGGAUGCGGAAUUCCAGGUGUAGCGGUGAAAUGCGUAGAUAUCUGGAGGAACACCGGUGGCGAAGGCGGCAUCCUGGACCAAUAUUGACGCUGAGGAGCGAAAGCCAGGGGAGCAAACGGG